CCUACGGGAGGCAGCAGUGAGGAAUAUUGGUCAAUGGGCGGAAGCCUGAACCAGCCAAGUAGCGUGCAGGAUGACGGCCCUACGGGUUGUAAACUGCUUUUAUACGGGAAUAACGCGCCUUACGUGUAGGGUUUUGCAUGUACCGUAUGAAUAAGGACCGGCUAAUUCCGUGCCAGCAGCCGCGGUAAUACGGAAGGUCCGGGCGUUAUCCGGAUUUAUUGGGUUUAAAGGGAGCGUAGGCCGCAUGUCAAGCGUGCUGUGAAAUGUCCGGGCUCAACCCGGGCCUUGCAGCGCGAACUGGCGUGCUUGAGUCCGCGGAAAGCAGGCGGAAUUCGUCGUGUAGCGGUGAAAUGCUUAGAUAUGACGAAGAACCCCGAUUGCGAAGGCAGCUUGCUGCAGCGGAACUGACGCUGAUGCUCGAAAGCGCGGGUAUCGAACAGGAUUAGAUACCCCUGUAGUC
rnacentral:rRNA from 1 species